UACGUAUGGUGCAAGCGUUAUCCGGAUUUACUGGGUGUAAAGGGAGCGCAGGCGGCGCGUUAAGCCUGGUGUGAAAGCCCGCGGCCCAACCGCGGGACUGCAUUGGGAACUGGCGCGCUGGAGUGCCGGAGGGGUAGGCGGAAUUCCUAGUGUAGCGGUGAAAUGCGUAGAUAUUAGGAGGAGCACCAGUGGCGAAGGCGGCCUACUGGACGGUGACUGACGCUGAGGCUCGAAAGCGUGGGGAGCGAACAGG
rnacentral:rRNA from 1 species